rnacentral:rRNA from 1 species
GAUGAACGCUGGCGGCGUGCUUAACACAUGCAAGUCGAACGGAAAGGCCCCAGCUUGCUGGGGUACUCGAGUGGCGAACGGGUGAGUAACACGUGGGUGAUCUGCCCUGCACUUUGGGAUAAGCUUGGGAAACUGGGUCUAAUACCGAAUAUGACACUUCUUGGAUGUUGUGGUGGAAAGCUUUUGCGGUGUGGGAUGAGCCUGCGGCCUAUCAGCUUGUUGGUGGGGUAAUGGCCUACCAAGGCGGCGACGGGUAUCCGGCCUGAGAGGGUGGACGGACACAAUGGGACUGAGAUACGGCCCAGACUCCUACGGGAGGCAGCAGUGGGGAAUGUUGCACAAUGGGCGCAAGCCUGAUGCAGCGACGCCGCGUGGGGGAUGAAGGCCUUCGGGUUGUAAACUCCUUUCGCUAUCGACGAAGCCACUUGUGGUGACGGUAGGUAGAUAAGAAGCACCGGCUAACUACGUGCCAGCAGCCGCCGCCG